rnacentral:rRNA from 1 species
GGGGGGGGGGGGGGGGGGGGGGGGCGGGGGCGGGGCGAGCGGCAGCGCGGGCUUCGGCCUGGCGGCGGGUGGGGAACGGGGGGGGAAUGCAUCGGAACGUGCCCAGUAGGGGGGGAUAGCCCGGCGAACGCCGGAUUCCUCCCGCAUACGACCUGAGGGUGAAAGCGGGGGACCGGACGGCCUCGCGCUCUUGUCGCGGCCGAUGUCGGCUUCGCUAGUUGGAGGGGGAAGGGCUUACCAAGGCGGCGCUCCGUAGCUGGUCUUAGAGGACGACCCACCACACUGGGACUGCGACACGGCCCCGGCUCCUUCGGGAGGCCGCAGUGUGGAAUUUUGGACAAUGGGGGCAACCCUGAUCCAGCCAUGCCGCGUGCGGGAAGAAGGCCUUCGGGUUGUAAACCGCUUUUGUUCGGGAAGAAAUCCUCUGGGCUAAUACCCCGGGGGGAUGACGGUACCGGAAGAAUAAGCACCGGCUAACUACGUG